UACUGAGUUUACGCUCUAUAACCCUUUGUGAACAUACCUAUAACUGUUGCUUCGGCGGGUAGGGUCUCCGCGACCCUCCCGGCCUCCCGCCUCCGGGCGGGUCGGCGCCCGCCGGAGGAUAACCAAACUCUGAUUUAACGACGUUUCUUCUGAGUGGUACAAGCAAAUAAUCAAAACUUUUAACAACGGAUCUCUUGGUUCUGGCAUCGAUGAAGAACGCAGCGAAAUGCGAUAAGUAAUGUGAAUUGCAGAAUUCAGUGAAUCAUCGAAUCUUUGAACGCACAUUGCGCCCGCCAGCAUUCUGGCGGGCAUGCCUGUUCGAGCGUCAUUUCAACCCUCAAGCUCUGCUUGGUGUUGGGGCCCUACAGCUGAUGUAGGCCCUCAAAGGUAGUGGCGGACCCUCCCGGAGCCUCCUUUGCGUAGUAACUUUACGUCUCGCACUGGGAUCCGGAGGGACUCUUGCCGUAAAACCCCCCAAUUUUCCAAAGGUUGACCUCGGAUCAGGUAGGAAUACCCGCUGAACUUAAGCAUAUCAAUAAGCGGAGGAAAAGAAACCAACAGGGAUUGCCUCAGUAACGGCGAGUGAAGCGGCAAC
rnacentral:rRNA from 1 species